CAGUAGCCGCGGUAAUACGAAGGGUGCAAGCGUUACUCGGAAUUACUGGGCGUAAAGCGUGCGUAGGUGGUGGUUUAAGUCCGUUGUGAAAGCCCUGGGCUCAACCUGGGAAUUGCAGUGGAUACUGGGUCACUAGAGUGUGGUAGAGGAUAGUGGAAUUUCCGGUGUAGCAGUGAAAUGCGUAGAGAUCGGAAGGAACAUCUGUGGCGAAGGCGACUAUCUGGGCCAACACUGACACUGAGGCACGAAAGCGUGGGGAGCAAACAGGAUUAGAGACCCCUGUAGUCCCUGUCUCUUAUAA
rnacentral:rRNA from 1 species